ACGACCAUAUCUCGAGUACAGCAAGAUUUCCCGUCCGAUCAAUCAUACUUAAGCCUCGGAGAGCCUUAACCAGUAGUGCCGUGGGAGACCAGGCGUGAACAGAGGGUGUUGUAGCUU